rnacentral:ncRNA from 1 species
AAAUAAGCAAUGAAGAGACAGUUAUAAAUAGAGAGUUUCAAGAGAGCAUUCGGUUGGUGUGAGAAUGUAACUUGAGUUUAUAAGAUCAACUUGGAGCAAAUUGGUAAGUCUGCCUUAAAGACAAUUAAGUGAUAGGACCUAUAAUAAGGGUGGUACCGCGGCGUAAGUCGUCCCUUAG